rnacentral:rRNA from 1 species
UACGAAGGGGGCGAGCGUUGUUCGGAUUUACUGGGCGUAAAGCGUGCGCAGGCGGUUCGCCAAGUCAGGUGUGAAAUCCCCGGGCUUAACCUGGGAAUUGCGCUUGAAACUAGCGGGCUUGAGUGUGGCAGAGGGGGGUGGAAUUCCACGUGUAGCAGUGAAAUGCGUAGAGAUGUGGAGGAACACCGAUGGCGAAGGCAGCCCCCUGGGUCAACACUGACGCUCAUGCACGAAAGCGUGGGGAGCAAACAGG